CAGCCGCCGCGGGAAUACGGAGGGAGCUAGCGUUGUUCGGAAUUACUGGGCGUAAAGCGCACGUAGGCGGCUUUGUAAGUUAGAGGUGAAAGCCUGGAGCUCAACUCCAGAAUUGCCUUUAAGACUGCAUCGCUUGAAUCCGGGAGAGGUGAGUGGAAUUCCGAGUGUAGAGGUGAAAUUCGUAGAUAUUCGGAAGAACACCAGUGGCGAAGGCGGCUCACUGGACCGGCAUUGACGCUGAGGUGCGAAAGCGUGGGGAGCAAACAGGAUUAGAUACCCCGGUAGUCCCUGUCUCUUAUAC
rnacentral:rRNA from 1 species